GGCUGGUCUGAGGUAGUGAGUUAUCUCAACUGAUUAUUCACAGCCAGUUACAGAUGGAACUCUUAGUUCUCCUCUCUUUCCCCUCUUCUCACUAUUGCACUUGACUAGUCUAAA
rnacentral:Y_RNA from 1 species